UAAUUUUUUAGUUAAAAAGCUAAAAUAUUAUUGGAAGACGAGAAGACCCUAUAGAGCUUUAUAUUUUUAUUAUUAAUUUAUUAUAGUUUAUUAUUAUUUAUUAUUAAUGAAAAUUAUUUUGUUGGGGUGACAAAAAUAUAUAAUUAACUUUUUUAUUUUAUUUACAUUGAUAUAUGAAUAUUAGAUCCAAUCUUAUUGAUUGUUAGAUUAAGUUACCUUAGGGAUAACAGCGUAAUCCCUCCCCAGAGUUCAUAUUUACGGAGGGGCUUGCGACCUCGAUGUUGGAUUAAGAUAAUAAUUAGGUGCAGCCGCUUAAUUAAUAGGUCUGUUCGACCUUUAAAUUCUUACAUGAUCUGAGUUCAAACCGGUUUAAGCCAGGUUGGUUUCUAUCUCCAAUAUUUUAUUUAAUUUUUAGUACGAAAGGACCAAAAUUAAGAAAAAUUUUUUUAUCUUUGAUUAAUAUUAAUUAUUUUGGCAGAAAAGUGCCAUGGAUUUAGAAUCCAUAAAUGUAAGAUAUUUCUUACAAAUAUUACUUGCAGUUUAAUGAUUUUUUAUUUGAAAUAUUAAGAGGAUUAAUUAUAUUUAUUUGUGUUUUAGUUGGUGUGGCUUUUUUAACUUUACUAGAACGUAAGGUUUUAGGGUAUAU
rnacentral:rRNA from 1 species